rnacentral:rRNA from 1 species
UACGUAGGGGGCAAGCGUUGUCCGGAUUUAUUGGGCGUAAAGCGCUCGCAGGUGGUCCGUUGCGUCGUGCGUGAAAGACCCCGGCUCAACCGGGGAGGGUCGUCGGGGACCGCACCGCUUGAGGGCGGUAGGGGCUGGUGGAAUGCCUGGUGUAGUGGUGAAAUGCGUAGAGAUCCGGAGGAACACCAGUGGCGAAGGCGCUGUCCUGGGCCGCAACUGACGCUGAAACGCGAAAGCAUGGGGAGCGAACGUG